AUACAUAUCGUGUUGCCAAGC
rnacentral:miRNA from 1 species